CCACCGAAAGAAAAAGAGUGGCGAACGGGUGAGUAACACGUGGGUAACCUGCCCAUCAGAAGGGGAUAACACUUGGAAACAGGUGCUAAUACCGUAUAACACUAUUUUCCGCAUGGAAGAAAGUUGAAAGGCGCUUUUGCGUCACUGAUGGAUGGACCCGCGGUGCAUUAGCUAGUUGGUGAGGUAACGGCUCACCAAGGCAACGAUGCAUAGCCGACCUGAGAGGGUGAUCGGCCACACUGGGACUGAGACACGGCCCAGACUCCUACGGGAGGCAGCAGUAGGGAAUCUUCGGCAAUGGACGAAAGUCUGACCGAGCAACGCCGCGUGAGUGAAGAAGGUUUUCGGAUCGUAAAACUCUGUUGUUAGAGAAGAACAAGGAUGAGAGUAGAACGUUCAUCCCUUGACGGUAUCUAACCAGAAAGCCACGGCUAACUACGUGCCAGCAGCCGCGGUAAUACGUAGGUGGCAAGCGUUGUCCGGAUUUAUUGGGCGUAAAGCGAGCGCAGGCGGUUUCUUAAGUCUGAUGUGAAAGCCCCCGGCUCAACCGGGGAGGGUCAUUGGAAACUGGGAGACUUGAGUGCAGAAGAGGAGAGUGGAAUUCCAUGUGUAGCGGUGAAAUGCGUAGAUAUAUGGAGGAACACCAGUGGCGAAGGCGGCUCUCUGGUCUGUAACUGACGCUGAG
rnacentral:rRNA from 1 species